ACGUACUACAACAAAAACGGUAUAUAGCGACACUUUUAAAUAUAGGUACAUGUCAAAAAAGUGCUGCUAGCUAAAAUUACCGACACUUUUAAAAAGUGUUGCUAUGUGUGGGGUCGCUAGGUAUAUAGUGACAGUUAAAGAGUGUCGCUAUAACCUAAAAGAGUGCUGCUAAUUUACCAAUACUUAUUUAAGCAUUUAGCAACCGCCGAAACUCUAUCUCAUUGGCUGCGGUGGCGGAGGAGAAUGACAGGAAAGGCUCUUCGUCUAGAAUUUCAGUGGAUUGAGUGAAGAAAGAAGAAAAUAUAGUAAUUGAUUUUUUUUUCUUUUCUGUUUGUAAUCGGACCAAAUGGACUGGGUGUGGUGGGUUGAGUAGAGUAAUUUUUUAUUUUUGGUUGGAUUGGGCUUUAUAUUUAGGCAUUAGUAGAUGUUUUUCUAAGUUUUAGCAUAAAUGGGACACUUACUCAAAAGUGUCCCAAACAUGUGUCCCUAUAACCUAAUUCUGUUGUAGUGACGCAGUUAAUCAUGUGCGUGAAUUCCCUCUCGUACUCCCGCACUGAUCGGCUUCCCUGCCUCAAUUUUCGAAAAUCUUCCUUGAUCUUCCUUUUAUCGCUCUCGGGGAAAUACUCCAUAAAUAGCAUCUCCCGAAACACCUCCCAAGAAAUAUAAGC
rnacentral:lncRNA from 1 species